rnacentral:tRNA from 1 species
GGGUAGGUAGCUCAGUUGGUAGAGCAAUGGACUGAAAAUCCAUGUGUCGGCGGUUCGAUCCCGCCCCUGCCCA